rnacentral:lncRNA from 1 species
GGAGAGGUCCAAAUGGAAAAACAUGUUCAAAAUGUUGCAUCCCAUUAGCACCCGGAUGAUGUUAGGAUGAAUAUAAGCUGGAGGGAUCUGGGUGUGGUGCAAGAAUUGUUUGAAAUUUGACAAAAGAGGAAAGUGGAGCCCUGCGUUGAAUUGUUCCUUACUAAAGAAAAUGGUGUUAUGCGCAGCCUUCCCAGUCAGUGUUAGACCUCCCUCUACCAACUGAACAGAGACGCCAAUGGGAAUGAAGAAGCGUUCGCUGAAUUCCCUCUCAUUGAGAAGCUUAGUAGGCUUUCCCACACUAG